rnacentral:misc_RNA from 1 species
CAACCCGAUCCAACCCCACCCGCCCUCCCCUCUCAUCUUGCAGUCCAUAUACUCGCGCAAUGGCUGAUUCGAAGAAGGACAACAAGAAGACCGAGGAGGUCGUCACCCAGGGUACGGACCAGGCCCAGGUUGGCCUGAUCAUCAAGGUUCUGGGCCGCACCGGCUCUCGCGGCAACGUGACCCAGGUGCGCGUGCGCCUGAUGGCCGAGGCCGGCUCCCCGGACUACAACCGCACGAUCGUGCGCAACGUGAAGGGCCCAUGCAAGGAGAACGACAUGCUCUCUCUCAUGGAAACCGAGCGUGAGGCCCGCCGUCUCCGUUAAGAAGCCGAAUAGGACUUCUUUGUGCACUGCCAGAGCACACGCGCGCACCAUCGCACCCCGUAUUCGUGUGUGUGCGUGUGUGUGUGUGUGUGUGUGUGUGUGUGUGUGUGAGUGCGUGCGUGUACGUCCUUGUGUUGAUGGGAUAUGCCAUUCCUGUGCGAUGUCUUCUUUCUAUUCACUGUUUGUUCUCAUUUACUUCGCAAGUAAAAAGUUAAAGCGAUGCAAAAGAAGGGGGCAGCAUAGACGCGUGGCUUCUAUUCACCGCAACCUCCCUCCUGCCUCUCCCCUUCCUUCUACGCGACGUGCUAUGCAGGAUGAGGUAAACGUGGUGUGUCUGCGCCUGUCUGCCGGUGAGCUCAGCCACGGACGGCGGCACUACACGCACCUGCGCAAAUACGCUCUUGAUAGUAGUGCCAAUACGACCACCAGAAAGGCACGCGGUGGAGGGCAACAGGGUGCCAACAUAGAACUCCGCUUCAGUCG